CUUCGAGUUCACUUUUAUUUAACUCACAAGUCCUACACUUAAAGGAUAGAUCUACAAGGGGAGAGACCACCGAGUUUUCUCCUAUAUCUUCUGCUCAUUCUUCAAAAUUCGUAGUAGCUGAAUCAACACAUCCCUGUAUGCUGAUUUCUUUUUUCUUGGUGCUGAGAGGAGAAUUAAUGGGCUCCAAAGGGAGCUGCCUCUAGUGCUCUGAUUUGAAUUCUUCAAUGUUAUGAGGACAAACAGACUUUGAAAGAAGAAAUGAUUCAACGUAUCAGAUACAGUAAUGAAGACAAUAAGAAAUUGGAUUGAUCCAGGUCUGGAGUUUUGCCACAGAGUGAAAUGGAACAACAAUAUGCAGGAGAAGUGAGGAUACUGGUCUUCUCUGACACUGUGCUGGUGGGCAGGGAGCCACCUCAUUACUACCAGGCACAGCUUAUAACUCAUGCAAAACAACAUGCUGCAAUGUUCUGAUGAAAUGCUCCUCUACAGUCGAGGCUCCCAGAAGGCAGAGAGCAUAUUCAUUAACUCAUUCUGCUCAACACUUAGCUCAUGUCCAUGGAGAGAUGUUGAAUAUGAGCUCCUAUUAAAAAGAGGGAAUACAAUCAAUCAUUUGAGAAUGUCCAAAAAGAACUUUUCCUUUCCAUCGAGCCUUACAAAUUAUUCUAAGAUUGUUUCUGUAAAUACCAUGUAAUUGGGAGAGAUACACAGGGAGCGUCAAUUGUGUCUGUAAUGUUUUACUGCUUAUGAUAAAAAGAUCUGAAACUAAUGUGACAAAAUACUAAGAUUUCACAGAAUUCAGUGUUGAGUGUCCUCUAAGUUAUUAUCUUUAUUCUUCAAAUAUUUCAUAAGGAAAAAGAUGGUGGGAACUUACAAUAUUUAUUAUUUUUUUGGAGAAUGGCUGGAUAAUAUACAUUGAAAUCUGCUAAGAAUUUACCAGAAGGAAGGAAAGAGAAACACACACACACACACACACACACACAGAGAGAGAGACAGAGAGAGAGAGAGAGGAAAAAAAAAUAUAUCCUUGGAAUGCCAAGCCCAAAGAUGCAAGUCUAUCUGCCGAUUUAUAAAAGCAAAUAAAGAGAAACCAUCUAA
rnacentral:lncRNA from 10 species